CUCUUAUGAAGAGCGGUGGAGGGAAGUGCCCUAUGAAACCCGGCAACCAUCACAUUUGUGAAAAGGUGCCAAGUCACGCGAAGUGGAUACUUUGAAAGAUAAGAG
rnacentral:ncRNA from 2 species